rnacentral:rRNA from 1 species
AUCCUGGCUCAGGAUGAACGCUAGCGGCAGGCUUAACACAUGCAAGUCGAGGGUAUGGUUUUCGGACCAAGAGACCGGCGCACGGGUGCGUAAACGCGUAUGCAAUCUACCUUUUGCAGAGGGAUAGCCCAGAGAAAUUUGGAUUAAUACCUNAUAGUAUAGUACUUUGGCAUCAAGGAACUAUUAAAGUCACAACGGCAAAAGAUGAGCAUGCGUCCCAUUAGCUAGUUGGUAAGGUAACGGCUUACCAAGGCUACGAUGGGUAGGGGUCCUGAGGGGGAGAUCCCCCACACUGGUACUGAGACACGGACCAGACUCCUACGGGAGGCAGCAGUGAGGAAUAUUGGACAAUGGGCGCAAGCCUGAUCCAGCCAUGCCGCGUGCAGGAUGACGGUCCUAUGGAUUGUAAACUGCUUUUAUACAGGAAGAAACACUCCGACGUGUCGGAGCUUGACGGUACUGUAAGAAUAAGGAUCGGCUAACUCCGUG